CCUACGGGAGGCAGCAGUGAGGAAUCUUGGACAAUGGGCGCAAGCCUGAUCCAGCGACGCCGCGUGGGUGACGAAGGCCUUCGGGUUGUAAAGCCCUUUCACCGGGGACGAUGAUGACGGUACCCGGCGAAGAAGCACCGGCUAACUCCGUGCCAGCAGCCGCGGUAAU
rnacentral:rRNA from 1 species